rnacentral:rRNA from 1 species
AUGCAACGCUUCUUUUUCAGUGGCUCAGCCAUCGGGGAUGUCAAUGACACAGAAAAAGCAGCUGCAUACAGAUCCAAGGAGACCCGCCAUAUGGCUGGGGAGCACUAUGAUCUGAAUUUUGUGAAGUCAGCCAUCAGGCAUCUAUCAGUGUACGGUGAGGUUGUUUCUACCACGGUGCUUAUCCAUCUGAUGGUUCUCAUACUUUGGAUGCUAUGGUAUCCAAGUCGUCCACAAGUUCAGAUAUGGCUGUUGAGGUUCAUGACUGAACGCACAUCCACAGUUGCUCCUAAGCUUAAGCUGUAA